rnacentral:pre_miRNA from 1 species
AGUGCAGUUGCUAUAUCAUAUGCUAAGUGCAUUUUUAGUUUUAGAAGAAACCAUCAAACUAUUUUCCAGAGUGACUGUAUCAUUUUACAUUUCUAUCAGCAGU